ACAUGCAAGUCGAGCGGACAGAUGGGAGCUUGCUCCCUGAUGUUAGCGGCGGACGGGUGAGUAACACGUGGGUAACCUGCCUGUAAGACUGGGAUAACUCCGGGAAACCGGGGCUAAUACCGGAUGGUUGUCUGAACCGCAUGGUUCAGACAUAAAAGGUGGCUUCGGGUACCACUUACAGAUGGACCCGCGGCGCAUUAUCUAGUUGGUGAGGUAACGGGUCACCAAGGCGACGAUGCGUAGCCGACCUGAGAGGGGGAUCGGCCUUACUGGGACUGAGACACGGCCCAGACUCAUACGGGAGGCAGCAGUAGGGAAUCUUCCGCAAUGGACGAAAGUCUGACGGAGCAACGCCGCGUGAGUGAUGAAGGUUUUCGGAUCGUAAAGCUCUGUUGUUAGGGAAGAACAAGUGCCGUUCAAAUAGGGCGGCACCUUGACGGUACCUAACCAGAAAGCCACGGCUAACUACGUGCCAGCAGCCGCGGUAAUACGUAGGUGGCAAGCGUUGUCCGGAAUUAUUGGGCGUAAAGGGCUCGCAGGCGGUUUCUUAAGUCUGAUGUGAAAGCCCCCGGCUCAACCGGGGAGGGUCAUUGGAAACUGGGGAACUUGAGUGCAGAAGAGGAGAGUGGAAUUCCACGUGUAGCGGUGAAAUGCGUAGAGAUGUGGAGGAACACCAGUGGCGAAGGCGACUCUCUGGUCUGUAACUGACGCUGAGGAGCGAAAGCGUGGGGAGCGAACAGGAUUAGAUACCCUGGUAGUCCACGCCGUAAACGAUGAGUGCUAAGUGUUAGGGGGUUUCCGCCCCUUAGUGCUGCAGCUAACGCAUUAAGCACUCCGCCUGGGGAGUACGGUCGCAAGACUGAAACUCAAAAGAAUUGACGGGGGCCCGCACAAGCGGUGGAGCAUGUGGUUUAAUUCGAAGCAACGCGAAGAACCUUACCAGGGUCUUGACAUCCUCUGACAAUCCUAGAGAUAGGACGUCCCCUUCGCGGGGCAGGAGUGACA
rnacentral:rRNA from 1 species